UCCCUCUCGCCCACUGUAACCCCCCCCCACACACACACACACUCCCCAGCCCAGCAUGUGUAUAAAAGCCCGCGGCACUGUGCUUCCUGGCGUACUCUCAGUGUAACAGUGAGAGACGCUUGCUUGACCUUCCCUCUCCUCCUCUCCUGAUGUGUUGCUCAUUCUUCACCUCCUCGUCGUCGUUACCGGGCGUCUGACGUUUGGACGACGGCUGCGUUCAUGAAAAAAAUGGGUUGUGGAAAUUCGUCGGCCGCCAGCACCUCAGGAGGGGGGCCAUCCGAAGCCUCCAGGGAUGUGACAGAAGAUCCCUUGGCAGACGAUGAGAAAAGAAGGAACUAUGGCGGCGUGUACGUGGGGCUCCCGGCGGAUUUGACCACGGUGGCCGCGAGUCAGUCCAAGCCGAGCCGAAAAGACUAGCGGUCAUCAGUGAAGAGGACACCCAACAGAGGCAUAUUCACCUUGAGGCGCCCUCUAUGGACUCCACCUUGGUGACUUCAGUGAGUGACGCGUCAGCCCUUUUCACGCGCCGCCUGAGUCAAGAUGCAGACUUUUCGUCAGGUCUCAGAAGACGGCUUUGCCUCGUGGACUCGUUACGGAAGGUGCAGCCACACAGAGCCGAGCUCUGCGGACGCCAAUUAUCAUCCUUCAAAAAAGAAGAAAAAAAAAGAUGGGCAUGGAAGUGGACAAGCGCCCUCUAGGGGAUUUACAAGGCAGCAACGGGCAGAGAGCGUCGUGACCGGACCUGUCAGUCACCGUGAUGAAAUGUCGCUGGCCAAUUAAGAUUUGAUUUGAUUAUUUUUUUCUCUCAUUAGCGGGCCGCAAAUAGCAAUCGCCACAUCAGUGACUCACUGCGGGCCACAACGAGAAUGUCAGAGAACCGUCGGGUGGUCCUUCAAGCUACGCUCACAGGCCACAAUAUAAAAUUUGGUAGACCUACACGAAUCUCACGCCUUACUAUCCAACAAAUUAAGGAAAAAAUAAAAAGUCUUAAAUAAAAUGAAUCAGAAAUAUAGUGACGUAAUAAUGUGCAGGUGUACCUAAUGUUGUGGCCAUUGAGUGAACCCUCACAGACGUACAUGACAUUUCUGAUUGUCCUUGUGAUGUUUCACUCUACCUCUUACUAUCUUGGUAAAAAUCGUCCCAUGAAAAAAACAAAUGCACUGACCUUGUAAUAUGUUCCCCUUAAUUCAACACGGAUAUGACAAGACUAUAAUUUGAAGGCUGAGAGGAACAUUUGCAAGACAUCCUCUCCACUUAAUAAUAGCUGUGAUCCUGUUUUUUUUCUUAUGCCACUUAUUGUCUCACCUUUAAAUAAUAUAAAAUCUCAAAUUAUUUCUAUUUUAUCUGUUGUACAAAAGAGAGGUUAUUUGUAAAAUCACCAUCAUUAUCCUCCCGAAAAACAUAAUCCAAAGUGUGCAAGGUCAAGAUCAUUCAUCAGGCAGACUCUUGACAACCCGCCUCGAAUUGAAAGCACCGUCAGCACUCAG